AAAAUUUAUAGAAUAUCUAUAUUUGAGGGGCAAAAAGGCAAAGUAAUUCCUUUUAGGGACUACUCCGUAAUUUGGAUUGAAUUGUAGGUACUAGUCAGCAAAACCCAAUGAGUAUGCGUUGAUCUAACAGUUAAUUCUACAAGUCAAGUUCAUUACUGCUCGCAUUUCAGACAUUCAUCGCCUCUGCACUGCUCGCUUCUUCGAUCUGCGUUUCCGGUUCCGUAAUCGAAAACACAUUUUUAGGGCUAUUUGAAUCAAUGCGUCAAGGAAUGACCUAAAACGAAUUGAAAAUUUAAUUUCUGUGCGUUUUGUGUAAUCGGUUGAUUGGUUAGGGCGGAUUUCGAUUACAGCAUAUGCCUUUUUCUCUUCCGGUUUCAAUUUGAAUUUCGAUUUUCUGAUUUACGAUUAGUUCUCUCGAUGAAUCCGUGUAAAUGUGUAAUUUGCUCUAUAUUUUUGUGUAAUUAGCUGAUUCUCUGUAGCCUUUGAUAUAAUUUGCAUAGAAUGUGCUGUAUAUUGCAUAGGCUUAUGAUUAUAGAUCUGGAUUAUAGUUUGUGAUUA